AUACCUUUCUCGGUCUUUUGGCUAAGAUCAAGUGUAGUAUCUGCUCUUAUCAGUUUAAUAUCUGAUAUGUGGGCCAUGUGCCCACAACGAUAUUAAAUUUAUAUUUUGUGGGGAGGGUUCUAUCACAGUAGCUUGCUGCUGGGCCCCUCAUGUGUCGCCCAGGUGUUGCCCUGCUGCCUGGGCUUGGCGCACCCCAA
rfam:Brachypodium distachyon strain Bd21 chromosome 3, whole genome shotgun sequence.